CCUACGGGAGGCAGCAGUAGGGAAUAUUGGACAAUGGACGCAAGUCUGAUCCAGCCAUCCCGCGUGAAGGAUUAAGGCCCUAUGGGUUGUAAACUUCUUUUCUUUGGGAAUAAAAAGCGGUAUUCAUAUCGCCUUGAAGGUACCAGAGGAAUAAGCACCGGCUAACUCCGUGCCAGCAGCCGCGGUAAUACGGAGGGUGCAAGCGUUAUCCGGAUUCACUGGGUUUAAAGGGUGCGUAGGUGGCUUUGUAAGUCAGCGGUGAAAGCCUGGAGCUCAACUCCAGAAUUGCCAUUGAUACUGCAGAGCUUGAAUCAAGUUGAGGUGGAUGGAAUAUUACAUGUAGCGGUGAAAUGCUUAGAUAUGUAAUAGAACACCGAUUGCGAAGGCAGUUCACUAAGCUUGUAUUGACACUGAGGCACGAAAGCGUGGGGAUCAAACAGGAUUAGAUACCCUGGUAGUCCACGCCCUAAACGAUGCAAACUCGACAUUAGCGAUAUACAGUUAGUGUCCAAGCGAAAGCGUUAAGUUUGCCACCUGGAGUACGACCGCGAGUAGUAACGACGAAGAGUAGUAGACGNGNGAGAGACGACGACGACGACGAGGAGGGAGGAGG
rnacentral:rRNA from 1 species